CCAGACUCCUACGGGAGGCAGCAGUGAGGAAUAUUGGUCAAUGGGCGCGAGCCUGAACCAGCCAAGUAGCGUGAAGGAUGACUGCCCUACGGGUUGUAAACUUCUUUUAUAAAGGAAUAAAGUGAGGCACGUGUGCCUUUUUGUAUGUACUUUAUGAAUAAGGAUCGGCUAACUCCGUGCCAGCAGCCGCGGUAAUACGGAGGAUCCGAGCGUUAUCCGGAUUUAUUGGGUUUAAAGGGAGCGUAGAUGGGUUGUUAAGUCAGUUGUGAAAGUUUGCGGCUCAACCGUAAAAUUGCAAUUGAUACUGGCAGCCUUGAGUACAGUUGAGGUAGGCGGAAUUCGUGGUGUAGCGGUGAAAUGCUUAGAUAUCAUGAAGAACUCCGAUCGCGAAGGCAAGUGUCCGGGGUGCAACUGACGCUGAGGCUCGAAAGUGCGGGUAUCAAACAGGAUUAGAUACCCCCGUA
rnacentral:rRNA from 1 species